rnacentral:rRNA from 1 species
CCUACGGGGGGCUGCAGUGGGGAAUAUUGGACAAUGGGGGCAACCCUAAUCCAGCCAUGCCGCGUGUGUGAAGAAGGCCCUCGGGUUGUAAAGCACUUUCAGUGAGGAAGAACGCCUGGUGGUUAAUACCCAUCAGGAAAGACAUCACUCACAGAAGAAGCACCGGCUAACUCCGUGCCAGCAGCCGCGGUAAUACGGAGGGUGCGAGCGUUAAUCGGAAUUACUGGGCGUAAAGCGCGCGUAGGUGGCUUGAUAAGCCGGUUGUGAAAGCCCCGGGCUCAACCUGGGAACGGCAUCCGGAACUGUCAAGCUAGAGUGCAGGAGAGGAAGGUAGAAUUCCCGGUGUAGCGGUGAAAUGCGUAGAGAUCGGGAGGAAUACCAGUGGCGAAGGCGGCCUUCUGGACUGACACUGACACUGAGGUGCGAAAGCGUGGGUAGCAAACAGGAUUAGAUACCCGUGUAGUC